rnacentral:snoRNA from 1 species
CUCAAGUGAUGGACAAAUGCCCAAGAAGCAGUAUGACCAAUUGGGAUGUAUUUGUACUGUCUGAUGGG